rnacentral:rRNA from 1 species
CAGCCGCCGCGGUAAUACCGGCGGCCCGAGUGGCGGUCACUAUUAUUGGGCUUAAAGCGUCCGUAGCCGGGUUGGGAAGUCCUCCGGGAAAUCUGGCCGCUUAACGGUCAGAAUGCCGGAGGAUACUCCCAGCCUAGGGAGCGGGAGAGGCCGAGGGGAUUCCCGGAGUAGGGGGGAAAUCCUAUAAUCCCGGGAGGACCACCUCUGGCGAAGGCGCUCGGCUGGAACGCGUCCGACGGUGAGGGACGAAGGCCAGGGGAGCAAACCGGAUUAGAUACCCGGGUAGUCCUGGCUGUAAACGAUGCGGACUUUGUGUCGGACAAGCUAUGAGCUUGUCCGGUGCCGGAGGGAAACCGUUAAGUCCGCCGCCUGGGGAGUACGGCCGCAAGGCUGAAACUUAAAGGAAUUGGCGGG